rnacentral:lncRNA from 1 species
CCCAUCAUUUUUGUAUUAAGGAGCGAGCCCUUAUUUUAUAAAAGGGACUCCCUCACCUUCAACACCACAAGCCAAACCAACCAAGGCAACAUAAGCCACAAGCAGAGCAGCCUCACAACAUGUGCUACUUCUGGUUGAGCAUUAUUUCAGAUUGGGCAUCGCCUCAUAUCGAGUAUCAGUUCUAGACGACAUCUAGUUACUUCGGCCCACACAUGGAUUGAAUUUCAAGUCUCCAGCUAAAAGACUUUCUUGACUGAAGACUUGGG